rnacentral:rRNA from 1 species
CCUACGGGUGGCAGCAGUGAGGAAUAUUGGUCAAUGGACGAGAGUCUGAACCAGCCAAGUAGCGUGAAGGAUGACUGCCCUAUGGGUUGUAAACUUCUGUUAUAAAGGAAUAAAACGAGGCACGUGUGCCUUUUUGCAUGUACGUUAUGAAUAAGGAUCGGCUAACUCCGUGCCAGCAGCCGCGGUAAUACGGAGGAUCCGAGCGUUAUCCGGAUUUAUGGGGUUUAAAGGGAGCGUAGAGGGGUUGUUAAGUCAGUUGUGAAAGUGUGCGGCUCACCCGUAAAAUGGCAAUUGAUACUUGCAGUCUUGCUUACAGUUGCGGUAGGCGGACUUCGUUGUGUAGCGGUG